rnacentral:lncRNA from 1 species
AUUAGAUAUGAAAACUGCUUUUAAGAUAAGGGUGCAGUUUGCACCGUCCAUACAUUUUGACGGCCAUGAUUGCAUAGUAAAUAAAAGGCCAAAACGGGUGAUCGUCACUAGUCGGUUUUGCUUCCCUCGGCACGUCCCUCUACCACACCAGACUUGAGACUAGACGGGAGGAAGAGGAAUUUAGAGAGAAAAAGAAGAUAGGUGGAUUGAA